rnacentral:rRNA from 1 species
UACAGGGGGGGCAAGCGUUGUUCGGAAUUACUGGGCGUAAAGGGCGCGUAGGCUGUGCUGUAAGUCAGGCGUGAAAUCCCCGGGCUCAACCUGGGAAUUGCGCAUGAUACUGCGGCGCUUGAAGACGGGAGAGGAUGGCGGAAUUCCCAGUGUAGAGGUGAAAUUCGUAGAUAUGUGGAAGAACACCUGUGGCGAAAGCGGCGCACUGGACCACAUCUGACGUUGAGGCGCGAAAGCUAGGGGAGCAAACAGG